rnacentral:rRNA from 1 species
UACGGAGGGUGCAAGCGUUAUCCGGAUUCACUGGGUUUAAAGGGUGCGUAGGCGGGCUGAUAAGUCAGUGGUGAAAUCCCCGAGCUUAACUCGGAAAUUGCCAUUGAUACUGUCGGUCUUGAGUAUAGUUCCGUUGGCGGAAUAUGACAUGUAGUGGUGAAAUACAUAGAGAUGUCAUAGAACACCGAUUGCGAAGGCAGCUGACGAAACUAUAACUGACAACUGAGGCUCGAAAGUGUGGGGAUCAAACAGG